UACAGAGGUCUCAAGCGUUGUUCGGAUUCAUUGGGCGUAAAGGGCGUGUAGGUGGCGCGCUAAGUCGGGUGUGAAAUUUCGGAGCUUAACUCCGAAACUGCAUUCGAUACUGGCGUGCUUGAGGACUGGAGAGGAGACUGGAAUUCAUGGUGUAGCAGUGAAAUGCGUAGAGAUCAUGAGGAAGACCAGUGGCGAAGGCGGGUCUCUGGACAGUCCCUGACACUGAGACACGAAAGCCAGGGGAGCAAACGGG
rnacentral:rRNA from 1 species